AACGCAUCUUGCGCUCCUUGGUAUUCCGAGGAGCAUGCCUGUUUGAGUGUCAUUUAAAUUCUCAACCACAUCUUGAUGUGGCUUUGGACAUGGGGGUUUUUGCGGGCUUUCCUUCCAAGUCGGCUCCCCUGAAAUGUAUUAGUGGUAUCUGGAGCAGAGACUGCUAGGUGUGAUAAUAUCAUCUAUGCCUGUGGUAUGCUGCAUGAACAGAUUGUGCUGCUUCUAACACACAUUUUGAUUUUGACAAACUUGACCUCAAAUCAGGUAGGACUACCCGCUGAACUUAA
rnacentral:misc_RNA from 1 species